UACCGAGGACUGAUGGAGGAAUGGCUGU
rnacentral:piRNA from 1 species